AGAGUUUGAUCCUGGCUCAGAACGAACGCUGGCGGCAUGCCUAACACAUGCAAGUCGAACGAGACCUUCGGGUCUAGUGGCGCACGGGUGCGUAACGCGUGGGAAUCUGCCCUUUGCUUCGGAAUAACAGUUAGAAAUGACUGCUAAUACCGGAUGAUGUCUUCGGACCAAAGAUUUAUCGGCAAAGGAUGAGCCCGCGUAGGAUUAGGUAGUUGGUGGGGUAAAGGCCUACCAAGCCGACGAUCCUUAGCUGGUCUGAGAGGAUGAUCAGCCACACUGGGACUGAGACACGGCCCAGACUCCUACGGGAGGCAGCAGUGGGGAAUAUUGGACAAUGGGCGAAAGCCUGAUCCAGCAAUGCCGCGUGAGUGAUGAAGGCCUUCGGGUCGUAAAGCUCUUUUACCAGGGAUGAUAAUGACAGUACCUGGAGAAUAAGCUCCGGCUAACUCCGUGCCAGCAGCCGCGGUAAUACGGAGGGAGCUAGCGUUGUUCGGAAUUACUGGGCGUAAAGAGUACGUAGGCGGUUAUUCAAGUCAGAGGUGAAAGCCCGGGG
rnacentral:rRNA from 1 species